UACGAACUGUGCGAACGUUAUUCGGAAUCACUGGGCUUACAGGGUGCGUAGGCGGCUUUUCAGGUCAGGUGUGAAAGCCCCCGGCUCAACCGGGGAACUGCGCUUGAAACCGAAAGGCUCGAGUCAGCUAGAGGUACACGGAACUUCCAGUGGAGCGGUGAAAUGUGUUGAUAUUGGAAGGAACACCGGAGCGAAAGCGGUGUACUGGGCUGGUCUGACGCUGAGGCACGAAAGCCAGGGAGCGAACGGG
rnacentral:rRNA from 1 species